UACAGAGACCUCAAGCAUUAUCCGGAUUUAUUGGGCGUAAAGCGUCCGCAGGUUGUUUGGUAAGUUGAGGGUCAAAAUCCCGAGCUUAACUCGGGAAUCGCCUUCAAAACUAUCAAACUUGAGGAUGGAAGAGGUGAGCGGAAUUCUCGGUGUAGUCGUAAUAAGCGUUGAUAUCGAGAAGAACACCAAAUGCGAAAGCAGCUCACUAGUACAUUCCUGACACUCAGGGACGAAAGCGUGGGGAG
rnacentral:rRNA from 1 species